rnacentral:lncRNA from 1 species
UCGGUCAAUCGGUUGUUGGGUUGCUGCCCCUGAAUUGGUAAUUUUGAGGAAAUUUUGCUGUUUUUGGUUAUUAUCUUGAAUAUUAUUAUAGAUAGAGAUAAACUGUAAACAGCAAUAAUGUUCAUCAAAGUAAGAUCUACAAAUAAGUCAACAUGACCAAAAUGGUCAGUUGACCCGUUUAGGAGUUAUUGCCCUUUAUAGUCAAUUUUAACCAUUUUUCAUAAAUUAAAUUAAUCUUUUACAAAAAUCUUCUCCUCUGAAACUACUGGGCCA